ACUCCUACGGGAGGCAGCAGUGGGGAAUAUUGCACAAUGGGGGAAACCCUGAUGCAGCCAUGCCGCGUGUGUGAAGAAGGCCUUGGGUUGUAAAGCACUUUCAGUAGGGAGGAAGGUAGUGUAGUUAACACCUGCAUUAUUUGACGUUACCUACAGAAGAAGCACCGGCUAACUCCGUGCCAGCAGCCGCGGUAAUACGGAGGGUGCGAGCGUUAAUCGGAAUUACUGGGCGUAAAGCGCAUGCAGGCGGCCUGUUAAGUCAGAUGUGAAAGCCCGGGGCUUAACCUCGGAAUUGCAUUUGAAACUGGCAGGCUAGAGUCUUGUAGAGGGGUAGAAUUUCAGGUGUAGCGGUGAAAUGCGUAGAGAUCUGAAGGAAUACCAGUGGCGAAGGCGGCCCCUGGACAAAGACUGACGCUCAGAUGCGAAAGCGUGGGAGCAAACAGGAUUAGAUACCCCGUGGUAGACUGUCA
rnacentral:rRNA from 1 species